rnacentral:rRNA from 1 species
GACGAACCGUGCAAACGUUGUUCGGAAUCACUGGGCUUAAAGGGCGCGUAGGCGGACCGGAUAGUCUGUGGUGAAAGCCCCCAGCUUAACUGGGGAAGUGCCAUGGAUACUGCCGGUCUGGAGGAGGGUAGGGGCAUCUGGAACGCUGGGUGGAGCGGUGAAAUGCGUUGAUAUCCAGCGGAACUCCGGUGGCGAAGGCGAGGUGCUGGACCGUUUCUGACGCUGAUGCGCGAAAGCCAGGGGAGCAAACGGG